CCUACGGGUGGCAGCAGUGGGGGAUAUUGCACAAUGGGGGGAACCCUGAUGCAGCGACGCCGCGUGGGUGAAGAAGCGCCUCGGCGCGUAAAGCCCUGUCAGCAGGGAAGAAAAUGACGGUACCUGAGUAAGAAGCCCCGGCUAACUACGUGCCAGCAGCCGCGGUCAUACGUAGGGGGCAAGCGUUAUCCGGAUUUACUGGGUGUAAAGGGGGCGCAGACGGGGCGGUAAGCCUGGAGUGAAAGCCCGGGGCCGAACUCCGGGACUGCUUUUGGAACUGCGGGGCUGGAGUGCAGGAGGGGUAGGCGGAAUUCCUAGUGUAGCGGUGAAAUGCGUAGAUAUCAGGAGGAACACCGGUGGCGAAGGCGGCCUACUGGACUGUAACUGACGUUGAGGCCCGAAAGCGUGGGGAGCAAACAGGAUUAGAUACCCCAGUAGUC
rnacentral:rRNA from 1 species